AUUGAACGCUGGCGGCAUGCCUUACACAUGCAAGUCGAACGGCAGCACAGUAGCUGCUUCCUCGUAGCGGUGGCCGGUGGGGUACGGGUUAGAACGGCACCUGACCCUAAUUUGUCGAUAGGGCGAAGGUAGGCAGACUAAUACUACAAACGAAUAACAGCUGAAGGUGAGAGCCGUUCGUCUCCGGAGCUAGAGGGUUUGCAGAAGGCGGAUUAGCUAGUUGGUGGGGUAAAGGCCCACCAAGGCGACGAUCAGUAGCUGGUCUGAGAGGACGAUCAGCCACACUGGAACUGAGACACGGUCCAGACUCCUACGGGAGGCAGCAGUGGGGAAUAUUGGACAAUGGGCGAAAGCCUGAUCCAGCCAUGCCGCGUGUGUGAAGAAGGCCUUCGGGUUGUAAAGCCCUUUUGUUGGGAAAGAAAAGCAGCACGUUAAUACCCUGCGGGUAUGACGGUACCGAAAGAAUAAGCACCGGCUAACUACGUG
rnacentral:rRNA from 1 species